AAAUUGAAGAGUUUGAUCAUGGCUCAGAUUGAACGCUGGCGGCAGGCCUAACACAUGCAAGUCGAGCGGUAGCACAGAGAGCUUGCUCUCGGGUGACGAGCGGCGGACGGGUGAGUAAUGUCUGGGAAACUGCCUGAUGGAGGGGGAUAACUACUGGAAACGGUAGCUAAUACCGCAUAACGUCGCAAGACCAAAGUGGGGGACCUUCGGGCCUCAUGCCAUCAGAUGUGCCCAGAUGGGAUUAGCUAGUAGGUGGGGUAACGGCUCACCUAGGCGACGAUCCCUAGCUGGUCUGAGAGGAUGACCAGCCACACUGGAACUGAGACACGGUCCAGACUCCUACGGGAGGCAGCAGUGGGGAAUAUUGCACAAUGGGCGCAAGCCUGAUGCAGCCAUGCCGCGUGUGUGAAGAAGGCCUUCGGGUUGUAAAGCACUUUCAGCGGGGAGGAAGGCGAUAAGGUUAAUAACCUUGCCGAUUGACGUUACCCGCAGAAGAAGCACCGGCUAACUCCGUGCCAGCAGCCGCGGUAAUACGGAGGGUGCAAGCGUUAAUCGGAAUUACUGGGCGUAAAGCGCACGCAGGCGGUCUGUCAAGUCGGAUGUGAAAUCCCCGGGCUCAACCUGGGAACUGCAUUCGAAACUGGCAGGCUAGAGUCUUGUAGAGGGGGGUAGAAUUCCAGGUGUAGCGGUGAAAUGCGUAGAGAUCUGGAGGAAUACCGGUGGCGAAGGCGGCCCCCUGGACAAAGACUGACGCUCAGGUGCGAAAGCGUGGGGAGCAAACAGGAUUAGAUACCCUGGUAGUCCACGCCGUAAACGAUGUCGAUUUGGAGGUUGUGCCCUUGAGGCGUGGCUUCCGGAGCUAACGCGUUAAAUCGACCGCCUGGGGAGUACGGCCGCAAGGUUAAAACUCAAAUGAAUUGACGGGGGCCCGCACAAGCGGUGGAGCAUGUGGUUUAAUUCGAUGCAACGCGAAGAACCUUACCUGGUCUUGACAUCCACAGAACUUUCCAGAGAUGGAUUGGUGCCUUCGGGAACUGUGAGACAGGUGCUGCAUGGCUGUCGUCAGCUCGUGUUGUGAAAUGUUGGGUUAAGUCCCGCAACGAGCGCAACCCUUAUCCUUUGUUGCCAGCGGUUCGGCCGGGAACUCAAAGGAGACUGCCAGUGAUAAACUGGAGGAAGGUGGGGAUGACGUCAAGUCAUCAUGGCCCUUACGACCAGGGCUACACACGUGCUACAAUGGCAUAUACAAAGAGAAGCGACCUCGCGAGAGCAAGCGGACCUCAUAAAGUAUGUCGUAGUCCGGAUUGGAGUCUGCAACUCGACUCCAUGAAGUCGGAAUCGCUAGUAAUCGUAGAUCAGAAUGCUACGGUGAAUACGUUCCCGGGCCUUGUACACACCGCCCGUCACACCAUGGGAGUGGGUUGCAAAAGAAGUAGGUAGCUUAACCUUCGGGAGGGCGCUUACCACUUUGUGAUUCAUGACUGGGGUGAAGUCGUAACAAGGUAACCGUAGGGGAACCUGCGGUUGGAUCACCUCCUUACCUUAAAGAA
rnacentral:rRNA from 1 species